rnacentral:rRNA from 1 species
GUGUCAGCAGCCGCGGUAAUACGGAGGGUGCAAACGUUGCUCGGAAUCAUUGGGCGUAAAGCGCACGUAGGCGGCCUCGCAAGUCAGAUGUGAAAUCCCUCGGCUUAACCAAGGAAGUGCAUUUGAAACUGCAAGGCUUGAGUACUGGAGAGGGUCGCAGAAUUCUCGGUGUAGAGGUGAAAUUCGUAGAUAUCGGGAGGAAUACCAGUGGCGAAGGCGGCGACCUGGUCAGAUACUGACGCUGAGGUGCGAAAGCGUGGGGAGCAAACAGGAUUAGAUACCCUCGUAGUCC